rnacentral:rRNA from 1 species
UACGAAGGGGGCUAGCGUUGUUCGGAUUUACUGGGCGUAAAGCGCACGUAGGCGGAUUGUUAAGUCGAUUGUGAAAUCCCUGGGCUCAACCGAGGAAGUGCAGUCGAAACUAACAAGCUAGAGGACGGCAGAGGAUGGUGGAAUUCCAAGUGUAGAGGUGAAAUUCGUAGAUAUUUGGAGGAAUACCGGUGGCGAAGGCGGCCGAUCUGGACCGGUCCUGACGCUGAGACGCGAAAGCGUGGGGAGCAAACAGGG